AUGUUCGCACUUAGGAUCUCGCUCAUGGUAUUAAAUUAACAAAAUUAUUUUGCCAUGGAAUUAAAUUAGCUUUAGUGCUAAUUAGCUUUAGGACUUUGCUCACUGCUCGUUGCUUUACUCUCUGUCCGUCGAUGAAAGUAGGGCCCAAUGUGUGAAUGUGUGGGAGUGUGUGUGUAUGUGUGUGUGCGCCUCAUCAGUCAACUUGAAUGCCAAACUCAAAUGUCAUGUAGUAAUAACUUUGAAUGCUGCCACAUUUGCGGCAACAAAAGGGACUGAUGAAACAUCCAAGAAUAGAAAGAAAUGCCAUUGUCAUUACCGUCUUCUCUCUAAGAUACAACUUCACCAGACCAUCCUUGACAUCCAUGACCACAGCUGUGAAGGACAGGUGCAGGGAGUGUGGCUGGGCCGGUAGCACACGUUCAAGCAGUACGUGAGAAUGUUGGCAUUACCACCGGCACUUGGCAUUUCACCUAAAGUUGCAUUUCGAAUAAAAGUUCUGAAAAACCCA
rnacentral:lncRNA from 1 species